rnacentral:tRNA from 1 species
GGACUGUAGCUCAGUGGUAGAGAGCCUGCCUCGUAAGUUUGAGGCACUGGGUUUAAUCCUCAGCACCA